rnacentral:rRNA from 1 species
UACGGAGGGUGCGAGCGUUGUUCGGAAUUACUGGGCGUAAAGCGCACGUAGUCGGCUUUGCAAGUCGGUUGUGAAAUCCCCGGGCUUAACCUGGGAAUGGCAUUUGGGACUGCAAGGCUUGAGUGCGGCAGAGGAGACUGGAAUUCCCGGUGUAGCAGUGAAAUGCGUAGAUAUCGGGAGGAAUACCGAUGGCGAAGGCAGGUCUCUGGGCUGACACUGACGCUCAUGCACGAAAGCGUGGGGAGCAAACAGG